GACAGAGGGUGCAAACGUUGUUCGGAAUUACUGGGCGUAAAGCGCGUGUAGGCGGUUGUUCAAGUCAGGUGUGAAAGCCUUGAGCUCAACUCAAGAAAUGCACUUGAUACUGGAUGACUAGAGGACCGGAGAGGAUAGUGGAAUUCCCAGUGUAGUGGUGAAAUACGUAGAGAUUGGGAAGAACACCAGUGGCGAAGGCGGCUAUCUGGACGGUUUCUGACGCUAAGACGCGAAAGCGUGGGGAGCAAACAGG
rnacentral:rRNA from 1 species